UCUUUUCGUUUAAAUUUUAAGGUCUAACCUGCUCACUGAAAAUUUUAAAGGGCCGCGGUAUUUUGACUGUGCAAAGGUAGCAUAAUCAAUAGUUUUUUAAUUGAAAACUGGAAUGAACGGUUGAUUGAAAAUUUAAUUUUCUUUAUAUUAAUAAUUGAAUUUAAAUUUUAAAUGAAAAUUUUUAAAUGAAUUUAUAAGACGAGAAGACCCUAUAGAUUUUUAUUAUAAUAGUUUAUAUAUAUAAAUAUUUCUUAAAUAAUUUAAUUGGGGUGAUUUUUUUAUUUGAUAAACUGAAUAUGUUUGAUAAAUUAUAUUAGAAGAAGUUAUGAUCCAUAAUUUUUGAUAAAUAGAUUAAAUUACCUUAGGGAUAACAGCGUAAUUUUAUUUACAAGUUCAUAUUUAUAAUAAAGUUUGCGACCUCGAUGUUGAAUUAAGAUUAAUUAUUGGAGCAUAAGAUAAUAAAUUUAGUCUGUUCGACUAUUAAAUUC
rnacentral:rRNA from 1 species